GGUGAACGCUGGCGGCGUGCUUAAGACAUGCAAGUCGAACGCGGUCUUCGGACCGAGUGGCGCACGGGUGAGUAACACGUAACUGACCUACCCAGAAGUCAUGAAUAACUGGCCGAAAGGUCAGCUAAUACGUGAUGUGGUGAUUUGCCGUGGCAAAUCACUAAAGAUUUAUCGCUUCUGGAUGGGGUUGCGUUCCAUCAGCUGGUUGGUGGGGUAAAGGCCUACCAAGGCGACGACGGAUAGCCGGCCUGAGAGGGUGGCCGGCCACAGGGGCACUGAGACACGGGUCCCACUCCUACGGGAGGCAGCAGUUAGGAAGCUUCCACAAUGGGCGCAAGCCUGAUGGAGCGACGCCGCGUGAGGGAUGAAGGUUUUCGGAUCGUAAACCUCUGAAUCUGGGACGAAAGAGCCUUCGGGCAGAUGACGGUACCAGAGUAAUAGCACCGGCUAACUCCGUGCCAGCAGCCGCAGUAACAC
rnacentral:rRNA from 1 species